AUGAAAACGAGCGUUUCGAGCCGGAGACGGCACCCUGGCGGAGGUGUUUUCCGGGCUCCCGCCGCGGCGGCGCUGACAGGCGGCAGGCCCCGGGGAGCGGCCCCUCCGCGCGGCCAGGCCGUGCCCGCCGCCGCCGCUUCCUGCUCCGGGCCAAGCGAACGGGGGCCGGCCCCACCGGCAGCGGGAGAGGGAAGGCGACCCGCGGCGCGGCGGAGGAAGGCAAGGGUCCGCGUUACCUGCGCUCCCGGCCGACCGACCCCGCACAACGGGCACCGGCAGCCGCCGCUUCUCGGGCUCCGACGCCGCCCCCGCUGCGCGGCCGCCAGGGGGCGCUGCGCCGCGCUGCCCUCCCCCGCGGGGCCGCCGCGCUCCGCCCGAGCGCGAUCGUCACCGUUCGACUCCCCGAGCCCGAACGGUCUCGGCAACCUCCGGGAGCGCUCGGGGCCGGAGGGCGGGGGCGGGGCGGGCCCCCGGCCGCCUCAAGCCGGACCCUCAGGCUGGGCUGGGGAAGCCCAGGGCGGGCAGGGACACGGGCUGACCCGGGCGGCCCAGCGUCCGGCCGUAGACCACCCCCUUGCCCGGCGCCCCGGGAGCCCCUCGGCCGCGGAAGCUGAGCCGGUUCGCGGCUCCCAGGAGCCUCCGGACGCCGCCUGGGGCUGCACCGCCCCCAGGUGUGACAGGCCCCAGGGCCCCGCUGUGCUGGGCCGCGGCGGGGAGGGCCGCACCUCGGCGGUUCCCGGCCUGGUUCCACCAGAGGCCUCGGGCCAAGCACAUAGGCCUGGUUCCGCCCUUGGCAAUCCCUGCCCGGCUCCCAGCUAUCCCGCUCCCUCGCCCCAGGCAGAACCGGCGGUGAGCCCCCCCAGCACCUGCCUCAGGCCUGACCGUGUUGGAUGCAGCUGUGGAGACGCGAUGGCAGCAGGUUAUUUCCCCCCCCCCCCCCCGGGCGGCUCAUUUCCUUCCCGGGGGCAGGGAGCUGGCUGGCACUGCCCUGCCAACCGCUGA
rnacentral:lncRNA from 1 species